rnacentral:rRNA from 1 species
AUUGAACGCUGGCGGCAUGCCUUACACAUGCAAGUCGAACGGCAGCACGGGUGCUUGCACCUGGUGGCGAGUGGCGAACGGGUGAGUAAUACAUCGGAACGUACCUUAUCGUGGGGGAUAACGCAGCGAAAGCUGUGCUAAUACCGCAUACGCCCUGAGGGGGAAAGCGGGGGAUCGAAAGACCUCGCGCGAUUAGAGCGGCCGAUGCCUGAUUAGCUUGUUGGUGGGGUAAAAGCCCACCAAGGCGACGAUCAGUAGCUGGUCUGAGAGGACAGUCAGCCACACUGGGACGGAGACACGGACCAGACUCCUACGGGAGGCAGGAGUGGGGAAUUUUGGACAAUGGGGGCAACCCUGAUCCAGCAAUGCCGCGUGAGUGAAGAAGGCCUUCGGGUUGUAAAGCUCUUUUGUCAGGGAAGAAACACCGGCUCUAACACAGUCCGGGAAUGACGGUACCUGAAGAAUAAGCACCGGCUAACUACGUGCCAGCAGCCGCAGUAA